UGAAAGCAGAACAAGCCGGUUACGUCUGUCAGUGAAGUAACAUCUGUGGGUAAAAAAACCAAGAGAGACUUCUGCAGACACAUAGAGAAUUUCUUCUGAAACUCGGUAAGCUUGCAUUUGUUCAGCUGCAGGAGAACAACCUCAUCUUCUACGAUGAAGACCUGGAAGACUGUGGCAUUGACAUACGAGAGGCAUCCGUCUACUCUGGAUUUUGCAGUGCAGUUCUUAGGGAAGAAGAAGUCUUUUCCCAGAAAAAGAUCUUCUUCUUUGUGCACCUGACCAUACAGGAGUUCUUUGCUGCUCUUUUUGUCUAUGACUGUUUCACAAAUAAGAAUACAAAAGAGCUCGGCAACUUCCUCGAUCUGAAGGACAAAGAACAUACCUUACUUGAUCUUCUGAAGUUGCAGUGAAACAACUUAUGAAAAUGUUAGUUCUUUU